rnacentral:rRNA from 1 species
UACGUAGGGUGCGAGCGUUGUCCGGAAUUAUUGGGCGUAAAGGGCUCGUAGGCGGUUUGUCGCGUCGGGAGUGAAAUCCACUGGCUUAACUGGUGUCUUGCUUUCGAUACGGGCAGACUGGAGGUAUGCAGGGGAGAACGGAAUUCCUGGUGUAGCGGUGAAAUGCGCAGAUAUCAGGAGGAACACCGGUGGCGAAGGCGGCCAACUGGACCACAACUGACGCUGAGGCGCGAAAGCGUGGGGAGCAAACAGG